UACGUAGGGUGCAAGCGUUGUCCGGAAUUAUUGGGCGUAAAGAGCUCGUAGGCGGUUUGUCGCGUCUGCCGUGAAAGUCCGGGGCUCAACUCCGGAUCUGCGGUGGGUACGGGCAGACUAGAGUGAUGUAGGGGAGACUGGAAUUCCUGGUGUAGCGGUGAAAUGCGCAGAUAUCGGGAGGAACACCCGUAGCGAAGGCGGCACUCUGGGCCGGAACUGACGCUGAGGAGCGAAAAGCGUGGGGGAGCAAACAGG
rnacentral:rRNA from 1 species